UGCGCAGGCGGUUUUGUAAGACCGAUGUGAAAUCCCCGGGCUCAACCUGGGAACUGCAUUGGUGACUGCAAGGCUUGAGUGUGUCAGAGGGAGGUGGAAUUCCGCGUGUAGCAGUGAAAUGCGUAGAUAUGCGGAGGAACACCGAUGGCGAAGGCAGCCUCCUGGGAUAACACUGACGCUCAUGCACGAAAGCGUGGGGAGCAAACAGGAUUAGAUACCCUGGUAGUCCACGCCCUAAACGAUGUCUACUAGUUGUCGGGGAUUAAUUUCCUUGGUAACGCAGCUAACGCGGGAAGUAGACCGCCUGGGGAGUACGGUCGCAAGAUUAAA
rnacentral:rRNA from 1 species